rnacentral:rRNA from 1 species
UAACACAUGCAAGUCGAACGGAAACGAAACUAGCUUGCUAGUAGGCGUCGAGUGGCGGACGGGUGAGUAACGCGUAGGAAUCUGCCUGAUAGUGGGGGAUAGCCCGAAGAAAUUCGGAUUAAUACCGCAUAAUCUAUUCGUAGUAAAGUGGGGGACUUUCGAGCCUCACGCUAUCAGAUGAGCCUGCGUAAGAUUAGCUUGUUGGUAGGGUAAAAGCCUACCAAGGCAACGAUCUUUAGCUGGUCUGAGAGGAUGAUCAGCCACAUCGGGACUGAGACACGGCCCGAACUCCUACGGGAGGCAGCAGUGGGGAAUAUUGGACAAUGGGGGCAACCCUGAUCCAGCAAUACCGCGUGUGUGAAGAAGGCCUGAGGGUUGUAAAGCACUUUCAAUUGUGAAGAAAAGUUAACGGUUAAUAACCGUUGACCUUGACGUUAACUUUAGAAGAAGCACCGGCUAACUCCGUGCCAGCAGCCGCGGUAAUACGGAGGGUGCAAGCGUUAAUCGGAAUUACUGGGCGUAAAGCGUGCGUAGGCGGUUUAUUAAGUCAGAUGUGAAAGCCCCGGGCUUAACCUGGGAACUGCAUUUGAAACUGGUCAACUAGAGUAUGGUAGAGGAAAGUGGAAUUUCUGGUGUAGCGGUGAAAUGCGUAGAUAUCAGAAGGAACAUCAAUGGCGAAGGCAGCUUUCUGGACCAAUACUGACGCUGAGGUACGAAAGCGUGGGUAGCAAACAGGAUUAGAUACCCUGGUAGUCCACGCCGUAAACGAUGAUAACUAGCCGUUGGGGGGAUUUACCCCUUAGUGGCGAAGCUAACGCGUUAAGUUAUCCGCCUGGGGAGUACGGCCGCAAGGCUAAAACUCAAAGGAAUUGACGGGGACCCGCACAAGCGGUGGAGCAUGUGGUUUAAUUCGAUGCAACGCGAAGAACCUUACCUGGUCUUGACAUCUGCGAACUUUCUAGAAAUAGAUUGGUGCCUUCGGGAACGCAGUGACAGGUGCUGCAUGGCUGUCGUCAGCUCGUGUCGUGAGAUGUUGGGUUAAGUCCCGUAACGAGCGCAACCCCUAUCCUUAUUUGCCAGCACAUUAUGGUGGGAACUAUAAGGAGACUGCCGGUGAUAAACCGGAGGAAGGCGGGGACAACGUCAAGUCAUCAUGGCCCUUACGACCAGGGCUACACACGUGCUACAAUGGGAAGGACAAAGAGCCGCGAAGCCGCGAGGUGUAGCUAAUCUCAUAAAUCUUUUCGUAGUCCGGAUUGGAGUCUGCAACUCGACUCCAUGAAGUCGGAAUCGCUAGUAAUCGUAGAUCAGAAUGCUACGGUGAAUACGUUCCCGGGUCUUGUACACACCGCCCGUCAUACCAUGGGAGUGGGUUGCACCAGAAGUGACUAGUCUAACUUUGUGAGGACGGUCACCACGGUGUGAUUCAUGACUGGGGUA